rnacentral:rRNA from 2 species
GUGCUGUGAGCUCGAUGAGUAGGGCGGGACACGUGGUAUCCUGUCUGAAUAUGGGGGGACCAUCCUCCAAGGCUAAAUACUCCUGACUGACCGAUAGUGAACCAGUACCGUGAGGGAAAGGCGAAAAGAACCCCGGCGAGGGGAGUGAAAAAGAACCUGAAACCGUGUACGUACAAGCAGUGGGAGCACAGGUUUACCUGUGUGACUGCGUACCUUUUGUAUAAUGGGUCAGCGACUUAUAUUCUGUAGCAAGGUUAACCGUAUAGGGGAGCCGUAGGGAAACCGAGUCUUAACCGGGCGUUAAGUUGCAGGGUAUAGACCCGAAACCCGGUGAUCUAGCCAUGGGCAGGUUGAAGGUUGGGUAACACUAACUGGAGGACCGAACCGACUAAUGUUGAAAAAUUAGCGGAUGACCUGUGGCUGGGGGUGAAAGGCCAAUCAAACCGGGAGAUAGCUGGUUCUCCCCGAAAGCUAUUUAGGUAGCGCCUCGUGAAUUCAUCUCCGGGGGUAGAGCACUGUUUCGGCUAGGGGGCCAUCCCGGCUUACCAACCCGAUGCAAACUGCGAAUACCGGAGAAUGUUAUCACGGGAGACACACGGCGGGUGCUAACGUCCGUCGUGAAGAGGGAAACAACCCAGACCGCCAGCUAAGGUCCCAAAGUCAUGGUUAAGUGGGAAACGAUGUGGGAAGGCCCAGACAGCCAGGAUGUUGGCUUAGAAGCAGCCAUCAUUUAAAGAAAGCGUAAUAGCUCACUGGUCGAGUCGGCCUGCGCGGAAGAUGUAACGGGGCUAAACCAUGCACCGAAGCUGCGGCAGCGACGCUUAUGCGUUGUUGGGUAGGGGAGCG